GUUUUGUAUGUUCCCGAUAGACCGAUACUUUGGAAUUUUAAUCCAAAAAAGAAAUUGAAUGUUGCAAUCAGAUUUAAGAAUGACAAAAGAAGGAGUGGGGUUACACAAAAGCCAAUGAGGAGGCAUGUGACGUUUUUAUGUAAAAGGGAAUCUAAUAGCUAAACAAUGUCAGUCCAUUUCCCUAAAGUCCUUUUCAUUACCACCCCCACCCAUUCUA